rnacentral:sRNA from 2 species
CAUCAGUCUGCCUAAUCCACGGAUUGCCCCAAACAUUUUGUUAUGUCGGGGUAAUUUUGGAGCGGAGGAACCAAGUUUGGGGCUAAUCUCACAAAAGAGGAAAGAAUGAAAAAUAAAGAAUGAAAAAAGACAAAAUUACUCUAGUUCUUUCUUCUAUCUUUUAUUUCCUUCUUCUCUCUCCCACAGAAGGACAUCUCUCAGUCCUAGCCCGUCAGCUAACUUCGCCGGCAUUGAGAGGAGACUGA